rnacentral:rRNA from 1 species
GACGCACGCUGGCGGCGUGCUUAACACAUGCAAGUCGAACGAAGUGGCGAACGGGUGAGUAAGGCGUAAUCAACCUGCUCUUCAGAGGGGGACAACAGUUGGAAACGACUGCUAAUACCGCAUAAUGAAGGAGGGGAUUGCGUCGUAUUAGCUAGUUGGGGGGGUAACGGCCCAACACGGCGAUGAUCAGUAGCCGGUCUUAGAGGAUGAACGGCCACAUUGGGACUGAGACACGGCCCAGACUCCUACGGGAGGCAGCAGUGGGGAAUCUUCCGCAAUGGAAGAAAGUCUGACGGAGCAACGCCGCGUGAGUGAGGACGGCCUUCGGGUUGUAAAGCUCUGUUAGUCGGGGCGCGGUACCGGAAUAGAAAGCCACGGCUAACUACGUGCCAGCAGCCGCGGUAAUUC